rnacentral:miRNA from 1 species
AGGCAAGACGUAAGGCGUUGCCG